CCAAAGCUAAAAAUCAACAUUAUAACAUGUACUAUAUUUUCAAUUGCCACAACUUGUCAAAAGAGAGCAACAUGAUAGACUCUUGGUAAGAGAAAAUAUGAAUUGUAACUAUUAUUUCAUGUACAGUGGAUGAAGCAUAUUAAUUAGAAUUAAGAGCAUAAAUCACCAAGUGAAGUAAUUAUAUCAUAGAUUUCUUGAGUCAUUCCCGACUCAUCAUAUUGCUCUUUCAAAUCCAUGCCACUGUCUUUCCUGGUCGAGCGGGCCUUAGGAGUAUGAGUCCGAUCCAAAAAGAAAGCAACUAUAAGCGCAACAGUUGGCGGGGAUGAGAAAAUCACUUGCAUUACGUCAUUGAACUGGAAGCAAAGAAAUCACAAGAGCUUCAUCAUUGAAUUAUGAAUCUGAAAUUGUUUAAUGAGCUAUAUUUUACACAAUUAACAGAAAGCUACAUUUGAAACACACGUACCCAGGUGGUUCCUGUGUUAACAGGUCCAUGACCAGAAAGAAAAACGUAUUCCUUGAAGUAUUGAGGCACAGAGAGGCCCAUGAAGAGAGAAAAGCCUAGAAUGAACUUUGAUCUAAAGCUAUUCACGUUGCAAAACUGGAGAUAUUGAAGCCCAGCUGAAGCCACAUAGGGGAAGAGGACAGUGUGGAGGGCUCCCACAAUUGGCAGUGGUAUUGAAGCGAAAAAAGCCCCAACUUUUCCUGUUAGAGACAGAUUAUGACCCCAUCAGAUAUUACAUCGAGUGAGCAAAAUUUUAUAGUACCAAGGACCCUAUGUGCAACAUUGUUUCAGCAGAAAUGAGAUUAAAAAAAGCAACUUAAAGCUCAAUAGAAGUACAAAUGUAAGUAGAUUGAUCCAGACUAGAUAAAGCUGAAAAAAUGUAAAAUAUUGCAGUAUGAGGAAUACUACACCUAAAACGGAAAGGAAAACCAUAAAGAUUGCUGAUACUAUAACGACCCUCCGACUUCCUACUUGUGUUAAUCCUAAAAGACCUGCAUCUUCCACAGAAGCAGUGGAGCCAUUUCCUGUACCAAAUACUGCAUCUAUCAUAGUUCCAAUUCCCUGAAUGCCAAUACCACGAGUCAGGGCAUAGGGAGGUAUAGGAGGAGCACCGCUUAAUUUUGAUGAUGCAUAAAAGGUACCAGAAGACUCAAUAACAGCUACAAGAGAAGCAGCCAUCAUUGAAAGAGCAUCGCCAACUUCAAAAAUGGGAGUUCCCCAUUGAAAUGGUUGUGGAAUCUUUAUCCAAGGAGCAGCACCAAUGAGCCCAGAACUAUCAGAAUGAGAAUUCAUUUGUGUUUCUUGAUGGUUUAUCCAACGAGCAGCACCAUUGAGACUAGAACUAUCAGUACGACAAUUAAUUUGUCUUUCUUGAGAUGUAUUAUCAUAUGCACCAGCUACAGUCAAAAUCUCUGCAUAGGUCCAUACAAUUCCCACAGAAAGUAUGAUUGCUAAUUGACCAACUAUCUCUUUUUUUGCUUUCCAGAUAAGGGGAAGAAACUGCAAUCAGCAAGAUGGAACACUAAGAGUAUUAGGUAAAACCAUUCUGAAAAUUAAACACACAGCACAGUAUAUGUUAUAUGCUCUCCAGCUAACUUGUAUCUACAAUUUAUAUAGUCUUUCCCUUCUCAAAUAGAUAUAUCUCAUCCAACUAGGUAUCAAAACACUCGGGCUUUUACCCAAAUUCACUUAAUUUAUAUUGGAUUUCAAGGUAAUCGCUGAACUUAAAGUAUACGUGAACUUGGAUUUAAGUGAAACAUAAUGUCAAAUUCCUUUACCUCAUUACUUGAAAUCCAUAUCUACCUAAUUGGUGUCUAAUAUAAUUCUAGAAAUAAAACAGGCAAAUAAAAUUUAAAAUUUAGCAAUAGAUUAGAUGCCUGUGAAAUCCUAAUAUAAAAGAAAAUUAGUCUUUAUAUGCCAAUUGAAGUUCAGUAAAUUUGUUGAAAUUCACUGAUAAGUUGAAUUAGGUUUGAUGCAUGUGAAAUCUUUCUAAUGAAGUUGCUUGGAACAGAAAUGAUGAAGCAUGUUACCUGAGUUAAGAAAACCAAUAUAGCUAAAGCUGGGAGUCCAAUUUCAAUACACCUAGCCAACAGCGGAAAUCCACGGACGUACAGCCCAAGUCCCGUGAGUGUUACAAGAGGAACUGAAGCAAGAGGGCUAAGGUGUCUUGCAAAAUAUCUCGCCAAACCAGAGAAACCAAUCACCAUUUGAAAGAAAGACGAAAUGAGACUUGCUCCUUGUACACGUCGUAUGAAUAGUUCAAACCUCUGAUGGGGAUCGAGUGAGUGAUUAAAAUUACUGUAAGUUGAUAAAGCAAUGGAAAUUAUAGGGAUAAUGUAAGCUUGGGAUGUUUCCAUCGACACAGAAAGCCGAGCACCAAAACAAAUCUGCAAAAGUGUAUUUAUUCCCAUUACAAACAACGACGCCUGUAUCGCCCUCGCUUUCUCUACAUUGCCACCUCCGCCCACACUGACCAUCACAGAUGGAACGAUCACUGUACUCCCCACAUUAACUACAAAGUGCUGGAAUCCCCAACCAUAAAGUUUUGGAUUACUCCAGGAAGGAUUUUCCGGAAUGGGAAAUUGGAUAAUGUCUUCUGUCCACCGUGAUUCGGCGGGUCCUCCUCCGCCUGUUCCAGUUGUUCUGCUGCUGCCUGGCUCAGUUGGUCCGCCUCCGUCUGUUCCAGUUUUUCCGCUGCUGCUGCCUGGUUCAGUUGGUCCGCCUCCGCCACCUGUUCCAGUUUUUCCAGUUGUUGUUCUGCUGCUGCCUGGUUCGGUUGUUCCGCCUCUGCCUGAUUCAAUUUUUCCUCCUUGUUCAGUUGGCAGAACUGGGCAAGUGGAACAGGAAGGGACGCAGUAACCAAAUGCAAGUUUAUUUUGUUGGCAAAAAUGGCAGCUAGGGACGCACUGGCAACAAUGGAAUGAAUGGGAAGGAGGACAUGUUGGGAAGUAGUCCAGAGGAGGUAUAUGUUGGCAACAACUGCAGUUGCUGACCAACAUUUCCACACUCCUAAUCUCUUCCCCUUUUGCAACCCAUCACUUUCUCACUCGCCCUAUAUAUCCAUAAAAAAUGUUAGAUAAAAUCUUUUGCUUUUUAUGUUCUUAUGAUGAGACUAAUUAUAAUUAAUAUUAGUAAUAAAA
rnacentral:misc_RNA from 1 species